GGCGAACGGGUGAGUAAUGCAUCGGAGCGUGCCAUUGAGUGGGGGAUAACGUAGCAAAGUUGCGCUAAUACCGCAUAUUCUGUGAGCAGGAAAGCAGGGGACCGCAAGGCCUUGCGCUCUUUGAGCGGCCGAUGUCAGAUUAGCUAGUUGUUGAGGUAAAGGCUUACCAAGGCGAUAAUCUGUAGCGGGUCUGAGAGGAUGAUCCGCCACACUGGAACUGAGACACGGUCCAGACUCCUACGGGAGGCAGCAGUGGGGAAUUUUGGACAAUGGGGGCAACCCUGAUCCAGCCAUGCCGCGUGAGCGAAGAAGGCCUUCGGGUUGUAAAGCUCUUUCGGCCGGGAAGAAAUCGCAUGGGCCAAUACCCUGUGUGGAUGACGGUACCGGAAUAAGAAGCACCGGCUAACUACGUGCCAGCAGCCGCGGUAAUACGUAGGGUGCGAGCGUUAAUCGGAAUUACUGGGCGUAAAGCGUGCGCAGGCGGUUUUGUAAGACAGGCGUGAAAUCCCCGGGCUUAACCUGGGAACUGCGUUUGUGACUGCAAGGCUAGAGUACGGCAGAGGGGGGUGGAAUUCCACGUGUAGCAGUGAAAUGCGUAGAGAUGUGGAGGAACACCAAUGGCGAAGGCAGCCCCCUGGGUCGAUACUGACGCUCAUGCACGAAAGCGUGGGUAGCAAACAGGAUUAGAUACCCUGGUAGUCCACGCCCUAAACUAUGUCAACUAGGUGUUGGGUGGGUAAAACCAUUUAGUACCGUAGCUAACGCGUGAAGUUGACCGCCUGGGGAGUACGGCCGCAAGGUUAAAACUCAAAGGAAUUGACGGGGACCCGCACAAGCGGUGGAUGAUGUGGAUUAAUUCGAUGCAACGCGAAAAACCUUACCUACCCUUGACAUGCCAGGAACUUGCCAGAGACGGCUUGGUGCCCGAAAGGGAGCCUGGACACAGGUGCUGCAUGGCUGUCGUCAGCUCGUGUCGUGAGAUGUUGGGUUAAGUCCCGCAACGAGCGCAACCCUUGUCGUUAAUUGCAUCAUUUAGUUGGGCACUUUAACGAGACUGCCGGUGACAAACCGGAGGAAGGUGGGGAUGACGUCAAGUCCUCAUGGCCCUUAUGGGUAGGGCUUCACACGUCAUACAAUGGUCGGUACAAAGGGUUGCCAAGCCGCGAGGCGGAGCCAAUCCCAGAAAGCCGAUCGUAGUCCGGAUUGCAGGCUGCAACUCGCCUGCAUGAAGUCGAAAUCGCUAGUAAUCGUGGAUCAGCAUGUCACGGUGAAUACGUUCCCGGGUCUUGUACACACCGCCCGUCACACCAUGGGAGCGGGUUCCGCCAGAAGUAGGUAGCCUAACCGCAAGGGGGGCGCUUACCACGGCGGGGUUCGUGACUGGGGUGAAGUCGAAACAAGGUA
rnacentral:rRNA from 1 species